CAGAGAGAGAGUUCUGUGGAACCAUGUUAACAUGAAGACCAAUCCCCUGAGCCUUCAGAUGAGGCUCAGCAGCCCCCCUCCCCGCCCCUUCCAUGGCUGUUUCUCCUUGCAGAGCUCAGGACAACCCUAAAGGUGAGUGAGUCCAAGUGCAGCUGCAAUGGACAGCCAUGGACACCUAACAAGCACCUCUCUCCUUGAUGCAUCUUUCCUCUUUUUCCAAAGCUAAAGGCGGAAAAUGUUACUGGGUCCUUUCUACAGAAAGGAUGAUGAUAAAACAUCCCAGGGCUAGAAAGGGCAGGCUGUAGUUAAGCAAAGACUAGAAGCAUGAAUGCUUGAACAAAUAUUUAAUCAUAUGGGUAUGUAUUAACUGGUUUGGGCAUUAUAUGUAGUGAGACUUACCAAACAUAUCUAAUAUACCAGUUCAGUUUUAGGGUGGUCAUUCAUACUGAAGCUUUAAUUCUUAACAGCAGGUUAAGUCUUCAGUAGUUCAAGGACCUCUGCUAAUUUGAUUUUGCCAAUACUUAUUGUAUGCAACAAACGAAUUAUAAUAGUAUAUUUAUGAAGAAAAUUAGUAAAUACUUUCCAACACCUCCACUUAGCCUUUGAGUUGGGUACAUUUUACUAGUGAACAUUUCCUAUACACGUGCAUAACAUAGAUACCCUGUCCAUUACAACAGCCUGUCCAGCCACAUACACCUCACAUUCAGGGGCUCUCU
rnacentral:lncRNA from 1 species